rnacentral:rRNA from 1 species
AACGAACGCUGGCGGCAUGCCUAACACAUGCAAGUCGAACGAGACCUUCGGGUCUAGUGGCGCACGGGUGCGUAACGCGUGGGAACCUGCCCUUAGGUUCGGAAUAACUCCCCGACAGGGGUGCUAAUACCGGAUAGUGUCUUCGGACCAAAGAUUUAUCGCCUUUGGAUGGGCCCGCGUUGGAUUCGCUAGUUGGUAGGGUAAAAGCCUACCAAGGCGACGAUCCAUAGCUGGUCUGAGAGGAUGAUCAGCCACACUGGGACUGAGACACGGCCCAGAAUCCUACGGGAGGCAGGAGUGGGGAAUAUUGGACAAUGGGCGAAAGCCUGAUCCAGCAAUGCCGCGUGAGUGAUGAAGGCCUUAGGGUUGUAAAGCUCUUUUACCCGGGAUGAUAAUGACAGUACCGGGAGAAUAAGCUCCGGCUAACUCCGUG